rnacentral:tRNA from 1 species
GGCAAGAUGGCCGAGCGGAACCAGGCUCGUCCGAGUUGCGGGUGUGGGUUCAAAUCCCACUCUUGUCA